rnacentral:ribozyme from 2 species
UUUUUUUUUUUUUUUUUUUUUUUUUUUUUUUUC